GCGGGCGUGGCGCAGUGGUUAGCGCGUAGGUCUCAUAUCCCAGUAGAUAUGACUUGGGACAUCCUAAGGUCGAGGGUUCGAAACCCUCCGCCCGCA
rnacentral:tRNA from 1 species